rnacentral:rRNA from 1 species
GAGGGGCUUCGGCCCCAAUCGAGUGGCGAACGGGUGAGUAACACGUGGGUGAUCUACCUUCGAGUGGGGGAUAACGUCCCGAAAGGGACGCUAAUACCGCAUGACAUCCUGCCUUUGAAGAGGCGGAGAUCAAAGCCGGGGAUCGCAAGACCUGGCACUCGGAGAGGGGCCCGCGCCUGAUUAGCUAGUUGGUGGGGUAAUGGCCUACCAAGGCAACGAUCAGUAUCCGGCCUGAGAGGGCGGACGGACACACUGGGACUGAGACACGGCCCAGACUCCUACGGGAGGCAGCAGUGGGGAAUUGUUCGCAAUGGGCGCAAGCCUGACGACGCAACGCCGCGUGGAGGAUGAAGAUUUUCGGA